UCUUCAUGCCUGUGAAACCUUUCCGCUUUCUACAGACAUUUAGUUCUAGUAUUUAAAUGCAUCAUUCAAGUUCGAGCUGUUUCGAAAUAAUGAACCACUCGCCACGCUCGCCUUGCCAGACGUCAGUAGCGCCGGGUUACUUGCGAGGUGCGUUUGUGUGGUGGGCAUUGUGCUGACGUCUACGUGUUUGUGGUCGAAAUGAAACAAUUUCCGAAGUCCUUCCCGAAGACUGUUCCUAAGUACCCAGCAGCGUUUUAUCAUCGUUUCGCUGUCAUGUUCCUCCCGGUGGCUUUCCUCUCCCCCGUUGUACCACAAAACAUUUUACUGAUGGAAGCUGGACGCCGACGCUUUGAAAUUGGUUUCUGCUUGUCACCAUUAUGUACGUAGCGGAGAUGAAUGACUCGCAGCUAACGCGUCGUACUCCCUUCAUCUGUCAUGAGUUUCUGUAUACUUCGUAGUUCUUCCCUGAGCUUAGAUGGAAUGUGUUCCAAUCCAUGCUGCUGAAAGAUUUGGUGAUGAUGCCUCUGCCUCAUUCUUACGUUAAUUUCAUUUUUAACCUUACCUGAUGUGCUGCAUUGGUGUGCCGUGGUAACAGAAACAUGGAGGUUAUUACAGUACGGUGAUAACUUUCACUUUCAUCUAUUAAGUUUAAUAUUGCUUUCAUUUUCCCCCUUCAUACUGUGCAAGUGAAGGGUAAAAUGUAUUGUUAAUUCCGAUUGUUCAGUGUCGUGAAAAGUUUACGUAGGCUAAUCUGUUUAUAGUUUCACACAUGCAAGUUGAGAUAUCUUGAUGAGUGUUUGGUGAGCGCUAGUAACUUGUUUGUAAAUUCCGAUGUACCAUCUCGUGCCGCCUUCAGUCUUAUUUGUUUAAUUAAUUCAUUGGGUUUAUCAAUUUUAUUUAUUCUUAUUUCUUUAUCUUACUUUA